GACAGAGGUGCCGAGCGUUAGGCGGAAUCACUGGGCUUAAAGUGUGUGUAGGCGGGCGGACAAGUACCUUGUGAAAUCCCACGGCUCAACCGUGGAACUGCUGGGUAUACUGUUUGUCUUGAGCCAGCUAGGGGCGACCGGAACAGACGGUGGAGCGGUGAAAUGCGUAGAUAUCGCUUGGAACGCCGAAGGUGAAAACAGGUCGCUGGGGACGCGCCGACGCUGAGACACGAAAGCCAGGGGAGCAAACGGG
rnacentral:rRNA from 1 species